AAAAAAUGAAAAAAAUCUAGCAGCGAGUGGUUUCGAUCCACCGACCUCUGGGUUAUGGGCCCAGCACGCUUCCACUGCGCCACGCUGCUGU
rnacentral:tRNA from 1 species